rnacentral:misc_RNA from 1 species
UGGUUCUGGCAUCGAUGAAGAACGCAGCGAAAUGCGAUAAGUAAUAUGAAUUGCAGAAUUCAGUGAAUCAUCGAAUUUUUGAACGCACAUUGCGCCUUUGAGAAUUCUCUUAGGCAUGCCUGUUUGAGCGUCUGUUGAACAUCUUAAAGCGUUUGCUUUCUGUUGGACUUUUGGCAUGAACCAAUUUCCCAAACUCAUGGGCGUUGAAUUUGUUUGCUAUUCACAGUGAAAAUGUGCGUAACAACCAGGUUUAUAUUCGCCAGUCUUCCUUUCUGUUCGACCUCAAAUCAAGUAAGAUUACCCGCUGA